AAGUAGUUAAAAAUGACUUUUUCAAAAAAAAUGGUGAAAAAGAAAGAAAGAAUGAUGAAUAUUACCAACAAAAUGCAUUCUCUAAUACCGAAUAACUAGAGAAGGAGUGAAAUGAAAGGAAUCGGGUAACAUAAAGAAAACUAGGUACCUAACUCCAAUGGUUUAAGCCUACUAUCCCAAAAAUAUCCUAUCCUGACAUAAGUCAUG
rnacentral:lncRNA from 1 species